GAUUAUUGGAGGUAGAGCACUGUUUGGACGAGGGGCCCCUCUCGGGUUACCGAGUUCAGACAAACUCCGAAUGCCAAUUAAUUUAACUUGGGAGUCAGAACAUGGGUGAUAAGGUCCGUGUUCGAAAGGGAAACAGCCCAGACCACCAGCUAAGGUCCCAAAAUAUAUGUUAAGUGGAAAAGGAUGUGGCGUUGCCCAGACAACUAGGAUGUUGGCUUAGAAGCAGCCAUCAUUUAAAGAGUGCGUAAUAGCUCACUAGUCGAGUGACACUGCGCCGAAAAUGUACCGGGGCUAAACAUAUUACCGAAGCUGUGGAUUGUCCUUUGGACAAUGGUAGGAGAGCGUUCUAAGGGCGUUGAAGCAUGAUCGUAAGGACAUGUGGAGCGCUUAGAAGUGAGAAUGCCGGUGUGAGUAGCGAAAGACGGGUGAGAAUCCCGUCCACCGAUUGACUAAGGUUUCCAGAGGAAGGCUCGUCCGCUCUGGGUUAGUCGGGUCCUAAGCUGAGGCCGACAGGCGUAGGCGAUGGAUAACAGGUUGAUAUUCCUGUACCACCUAUAAUCGUUUUAAUCGAUGGGGGGACGCAGUAGGAUAGGCGAAGCGUGCGAUUGGAUUGCACGUCUAAGCAGUAAGGCUGAGUAUUAGGCAAAUCCGGUACUCGUUAAGGCUGAGCUGUGAUGGGGAGAAGACAUUGUGUCUUCGAGUCGUUGAUUUCACACUGCCGAGAAAAGCCUCUAGAUAGAAAAUAGGUGCCCGUACCGCAAACCGACACAGGUAGUCAAGAUGAGAAUUCUAAGGUGAGCGAGCGAACUCUCGUUAAGGAACUCGGCAAAAUGACCCCGUAACUUCGGGAGAAGGGGUGCUCUUUAGGGUUAACGCCCAGAAGAGCCGCAGUGAAUAGGCCCAAGCGACUGUUUAUCAAAAACACAGGUCUCUGCUAAACCGUAAGGUGAUGUAUAGGGGCUGACGCCUGCCCGGUGCUGGAAGGUUAAGAGGAGUGGUUAGCUUCUGCGAAGCUACGAAUCGAAGCCCCAGUAAACGGCGGCCGUAACUAUAACGGUCCUAAGGUAGCGAAAUUCCUUGUCGGGUAAGUUCCGACCCGCACGAAAGGCGUAACGAUUUGGGCACUGUCUCAACGAGAGACUCGGUGAAAUCAUAGUACCUGUGAAGAUGCAGGUUACCCGCGACAGGACGGAAAGACCCCGUGGAGCUUUACUGUAGCCUGAUAUUGAAAUUCGGCACAGCUUGUACAGGAUAGGUAGGAGCCUUUGAAACGUGAGCGCUAGCUUACGUGGAGGCGCUGGUGGGAUACUACCCUAGCUGUGUUGGCUUUCUAACCCGCACCACUUAUCGUGGUGGGAGACAGUGUCAGGCGGGCAGUUUGACUGGGGCGGUCGCCUCCUAAAAGGUAACGGAGGCGCUCAAAGGUUCCCUCAGAAUGGUUGGAAAUCAUUCAUAGAGUGUAAAGGCAUAAGGGAGCUUGACUGCGAGACCUACAAGUCGAGCAGGGUCGAAAGACGGACUUAGUGAUCCGGUGGUUCCGCAUGGAAGGGCCAUCGCUCAACGGAUAAAAGCUACCCCGGGGAUAACAGGCUUAUCUCCCCCAAGAGUUCACAUCGACGGGGAGGUUUGGCACCUCGAUGUCGGCUCAUCGCAUCCUGGGGCUGUAGUCGGUCCCAAGGGUUGGGCUGUUCGCCCAUUAAAGCGGUACGCGAGCUGGGUUCAGAACGUCGUGAGACAGUUCGGUCCCUAUCCGUCGUGGGCGUAGGAAAUUUGAGAGGAGCUGUCCUUAGUACGAGAGGACCGGGAUGGACAUACCUCUGGUGUACCAGUUGUCGUGCCAACGGCAUAGCUGGGUAGCUAUGUGUGGACGGGAUAAGUGCUGAAAGCAUCUAAGCAUGAAGCCCCCCUCAAGAUGAGAUUUCCCAACUUCGGUUAUAAGAUCCCUCAAAGAUGAUGAGGUUAAUAGGUUCGAGGUGGAAGCAUGGUGACAUGUGGAGCUGACGAAUACUAAUCGAUCGAAGACUUAAUCAAAA
rnacentral:rRNA from 1 species